GCCUUCGUAGACCAAGCUAGAUCGCUUCCUCCGCAUGAAGAGUGCUUUGUGUGCUGAUGUAGGGAAGAGAUGUGGGUUCGAAUCCCAUCGAAGGCG